rnacentral:rRNA from 1 species
CCUACCUGGUUGAUCCUGCCAGUAGUCAUAUGCUUGUCUCGAAGAUUAAGCCAUGCAUGUCUAAGUCCAAGCUGUGUUCACACGGCGAGACCGCGGACGGCUCAUUAAAUCAGUCGUGGUCCAAAUGGGCCAGUGCAAAUCCUACUUGGAUAACUGUGGUAAUUCCAGAGCUAAUACAUGCAACUGAUAUCCCGAAGGCUGGUGCUUGCUUGUCUUGCGCUCUGCUCCGACGGAUGCUUUUAUUAGACCAAGCCGCUGAGGACUCGAGGGUUUCGGCUCUCUUGUUCGACUCGUGUGAUGGUGAUUCUGGAUAACCAAUUUGACAAGCGCACGUACUCCUCUUCUGAGCGGGACGGCGCUGCCACUUUCGAGUGUCUGCCUUAUCAGCUAUCAACCGUUCGUUAUGCGCGACCGAUGGCUUUGACGGGUAACGGGGAAUCAGGGUUCGAUUCCGGAGAGGCAGCCUGAGAGACGGCUACCACGUCCAAGGACGGCAGCAGGCACGCAAAUUACCCAAUCCCAGCAAAUGGGGGAGGUAGUGACGAAAUCUAACGAUGCGGGCGCCCUUUCUGGGGCCCCGCAAUCGGAAUGGGCACUUUCUAAACAACCUGUUGAGAACCUACUGAAGGGCAAGUCUGGUGCCAGCAGCCGCGGUAAUUCCAGCUUCAGCAGCAUCUAUUAAAGUUGCUGCGGUUAAAGGGCUCGCAGUUGAAUGUCUGUAUCGAGCGCAGGUCAGGUGGACGUUGGGGCGUGGAAGUACGGGCAGUUGGUGUUGUUGGGGGCGCGUUCUGCGUGACUCUUGGCGCGCCUUCGGCUUUUCCACACACCCCCGUCCGUGACAAGCCUCCUCGCUCGGGUACAUAACGGGAAUCGGUCAACGGAGUGUAGCUCGUGUGUGCGCGUGUGUUGUGGUUCGUUUCGGCGUUCCUCUCUCGUGCGUGUGUCGCGCGGCUGCGUUAAGCUCCAUCGGUUUCACGGUCACCUUGAGUAAAUCAGAGUGCUCAAAGCAGUCGUAGGGGCCUUGCGCCCUGUGAACAGUCUUGACGGACUGACUUGGUUUUGCAUGGCAUGUCGGAAGACGACGUCGUGUGCUGGCUCAGAGGAUAAAUCAGUGGUACAAGCCAGCCUCGACGUAAUGAUUAAAAGGGACGGUCGAGGGCAUUGGUAUUGCGAGGCGAGAGGUGAAAUUCUGUGACCCCCGCAAGACCUCCUGAAGCGAAAGCGUCUGCCAAGGACGUUUUCAUUAAUCAUGAACGAAAGUUAGAGGAUCGAAGGCGAUCAGAUACCGCCCUAGUUCUAACCCUAAACGAUGCCAACCAUCAAUCCGCGCGUAGCGACCCUUCUUAACGGGCUCGGCGGGCAGCUCCCCACUCACGGGAAACCAGAGCCUCUGGGUUCCGGGGGGAGUCUGGUUGCAAAGCUGAAACUUAAAGGAAUUGACGGAAAGGCACCACCAGGCGUGGAGCCUGCGGCUUAAUUUUGACUCAACACGGGCCAUCUCACCAGGCCAGCACUCUUGUACGAUUGACAGAUUGAGGGCUCUUUCUCGAUUCAGUGGAUGGUGGUGCAUGGCCGUUCUUAGUUGGUGGAGUGAUCUGUCUGGUUAAUUCCGAUAACGAACGAGACUCUCCCCUGCUAACUAGUCGGUUGGAUCUUGAUCAGUGGGUUGCGUGCUGAGUAACUCUCGCUGCGUGGUGCGCGCGUGCGUGUGGGGCAACCUGUGCGUGCGUUGUGUGCUCGUGGUGUUGGAUGCCUUGGAUCACACUGCACCCCAAGUCCGCCGCUUAUGCUAUAACUCUUCUUAGAGGGAUUCACGGCACUGAAGCCGUAAGAGACUGAGAGCAAUAACAGGUCUGUGAUGCCCUUAGAUGCUCUGGGCCGCACGCGCGCUACAAUGCCGGGCACAGCAGGUGUUUCUCCUGCUCCGACAGGAGCGGGGUAACCCUCUGAAAGCCAGUGUUCUUGCAAGUGCUUCCUCCCUCGCGGAGUUGCACAGAGGCGUGCUUGGGCCUGGGACUUGCAAUUCUUUCCCACCAACGAGGAAUGCCUAGUAGCGGCGGGUCACUGAGCCCGCUGUGACUCAGUCCCUGCCCUUUGUACACACCGCCCGUCGCUACUACCGAUUGGGUGUACCAGUGAGAGCCUUGGACUGGCGUCCGUUGUUGCUUCUGUGACAAGCGGGUCCGACGGAAAGAGGUCCGAACUGGUGCACUUAGAGGAAGUAAAAGUCGUAACAAGGUUUCCGUAGGUGAACCUGCGGAAGGAUCAUUA